GUGGUUUCGGCAACGGUGUCGCUGCGUCCAUCAGGCGUGGCGUGGAGGGCGCGCAUCCGCUCGGCGAUCGUGUCGCUGAAGCCGCG
rnacentral:tRNA from 1 species